rnacentral:rRNA from 1 species
AUUGAACGCUGGCGGCAGGCCUAACACAUGCAAGUCGAGCGGAUGAGUGGAGCUUGCUCCAUGAUUCAGCGGCGGACGGGUGAGUAAUGCCUAGGAAUCUGCCUGGUAGUGGGGGACAACGUUUCGAAAGGAACGCUAAUACCGCAUACGUCCUACGGGAGAAAGUGGGGGAUCUUCGGACCUAACGCCAUCAGAUGAGCCUAGGUCGGAUUAGCUAGUUGGUGAGGUAAAGGCUCACCAAGGCGACGAUCCGUAACUGGUCUGAGAGGAUGAUCAGUCACACUGGAACUGAGACACGGUCCAGACUCCUACGGGAGGCAGCAGUGGGGAAUAUUGGACAAUGGGCGAAAGCCUGAUCCAGCCAUGCCGCGUGUGUGAAGAAGGUCUUCGGAUUGUAAAGCACUUUAAGUUGGGAGGAAGGGCAGUAAGUUAAUACCUUGCUGUUUUGACGUUACCAACAGAAUAAGCACCGGCUAACUUCGUGCCAGCCGCCGCCGUAAUAC